rnacentral:lncRNA from 1 species
AGUGAGGGCAGCCUAACAAGAUCUUGAUGGUGCUGCCGUAUGAGAUGGGGCAAUCAUCGUUCCACUUUUCACGUCUCUGUGUGACCAGAGGGUAAACAUCUUGAACUUCAGAGUCUGCAUACCACCUAAUCCCGAGGGAGUCCCCAGGGCCUGUCUGCAUUGAGCUGAAACCUCAGUUCUUAAGCAUCAGGAUCUGCCAGAUUUACAGCCUUCAAAGAGUAGCUUAGCAUCCAAAAUAGUGUAAAGCCUGUGCUGACCUGGCAGGACAGAAGCAGCAACAAGGGAGCUGAAAGGUAAGCAAUUUAGCAGUCAAAGAACUUUGACCUUCACCCAGUGUAUAGCACCGUGGUUUACAGUUGUAAGGGUGAAGAGAAGAAUCUGUAAAAGAAGAACGCUUGUUAAGAACCUGAUAAACUAGGUCAGUUCUUCUCAUCUCUGGCAACAGACUAAGUUGCAAGGGCUGAAAAUAUACAGUUUCCCAUGCCGGUUGUGUUUGGUUAAUGGCUAUUGGCUGUGAGUGUUCACUACCUUUACGGCAACAUUGUAAAUAACAUAAUUAGAGAGGUUUAUUUUAUAAUUAACUUAUCUUCUACAACUGGUGUGAACGAGUAUACUGGAUAAACACCAUGCCCCGUGAAAACCCAAGCAGCAACCUCAGCCCCAGCACCCUAAAGCAAAUGUAAAACCCUUUAGUGGAAAAAUCCAAACCCACAGGCCGGAUUGUGCAUGACAGGAAGAGAGCUAGAAAGAUCAGCAGUGUCAGUAAAUGUGGUCCUAGAAUAGAAGGAAAAUGGUUAAGUAGAAUUACCAGAUGAUUUGAGGAAGUGAAUCAUAUCCUAAGCUACAAGGAAAGACAGAAAAUCCGUCCAAAUGGUCUUUGCCAGUCUCACCAGAGGGAAACUUCCUUCUAUUUCUUGGUGGUAUUUAGUAGUUCCUAGGAUCAGAAGCUUUAAUGGGUAUGCAGUUUUGCAUCCGUACAAGUCAUUUAACUUGAAUGCAGGAUCAGAUGAGAGGUAAGUGUUCUACAUGAAAAAGUAAUCUUCACUUAGGCAUAGAGUGAAUGAUUGGCAAGGUGUGUGGGAUUUUUUUUUAGUCACUCCUGCGUAAGCUUUGCUGAUUGAGAGAGAUUACAUUUACUGACGAAGGCAGACUGACUCUUUAUAAUAGCAUUAGCCAUUUUAUGUGUUUGUUCUGUGAAGUGAAAUGUGUGAAUUACAACACUAAUUUCAAGGUUAUGUUUUCAACUUAACAAAGUCUCCUUUACAGAACUGCCUAGAUUAUAGACGCUAUGUUAUUUGGAUAUUUUUUUUUCAGUGAUGUUCUAUAAAUCUUCUAAUAUUUUAAAGAGGUUUUUUUUUAAGUCUUAUACUUUCAUGUAAUUUUUUUCAGCACAGUGAAGAAACGUUAUGUUGAGAUGUUCCUCUCAGUGUGAAGCUUCUUUUACACAGUGCAACAGAGAGGGGUUUAAGUCAGGUGGAACUAACCUUGUUAACUCCAAGG